rnacentral:rRNA from 1 species
GAUGAACGCUGGCGGCGUGCCUAAUACAUGCAAGUCGAGCGAAGCGGGGACGGGUGAGUAACACGUGGGGGACCUCCUAUAAGACUGGGAUUACUUCGGGAAACCGGAGCUUAACCGGCAUCUUAUACAUGGAUCGGUGUUGCAUUAGCUAGUUGGUAAGGUAACGGCUUACCAAGGCAACGAUGCAUAGCGGACCUGAGAGGAUGAUCGGCCACACUGGAACUGAGACACGGUCCAGACUCCUACGGGAGGCAGCAGUGGGGAAUCUUGCGCAAUGGGCGAAAGCCUGACGGAGCAACGCCGCGUGAGUGAUGAAGGCCUUCGGAUCGUAAAACUCUGUUAUUAGGGAAGCGGUACCUAAUGAGAAAGCCACGGCUAACUCCGUGCCAGCCGCCGCGGUAAUAC